UACGGAGGUGGCAAGCGUUGUUCGGAUUUAUUGGGUGUAAAGGGCAGGUAGGUGUCCUAGCAAGUUCUGGUUGAAAUCCUUCAGCUCAACUGGAGAACGUGUCAGAAAACUGCUAGGAUUGAGUGUGGGAGAGGAGAAUGGAAUUCCCGGUGUAAGGGUGAAAUCUGUAGAGAUCGGGAAGAACACCAGUGGCGAAAGCGAUUCUCUGGCCCAAUACUGACACUGAACUGCGAAAGCUAGGGGAGCAAACAGG
rnacentral:rRNA from 1 species